rnacentral:rRNA from 1 species
GACGUAGGGCGCGAGCGUUGUCCGGAUUUAUUGGGCGUAAAGAGCUCGUAGGCGGCUUGCCGCGUCGACUGUGAAAUCCCUCGGCUUAACCGAGGAACUGCCCUCCAAACUGCUUGGCUUGAGUCCGGGAGAGGUGAGUGGAAUUCCCAGUGUAGCGGUGAAAUGCGUAGAUAUUGGGAGGAACACCAGUGGCGAAGGCGGCUCACUGGACCGGAACUGACGCUGAGGCGCGAAAGCGUGGGGAGCAAACAGG